rnacentral:rRNA from 1 species
AGUGAACGCUGGCGGUAGGCCUAACACAUGCAAGUCGAACGGCAGCACAGUAAGAGCUUGCUCUUACGGGUGGCGCGUGGCGGACGGGUGAGGAAUACAUCGGAAUCUACUUUUUCGUGGGGGAUAACGUAGGGAAACUUACGCUAAUACCGCAUACGACCUACGGGUGAAAGCAGGGGAUCUUCGGACCUUGCGCGAUUGAAUGAGCCGAUGUCGGAUUAGCUAGUUGGCGGGGUAAAGGCCCACCAAGGCGACGAUCCGUAGCUGGUCUGAGAGGAUGAUCAGCCACACUGGAACUGAGACACGGUCCAGACUCCUACGGGAGGCAGCAGUGGGGAAUAUUGGACAAUGGGCGCAAGCCUGAUCCAGCCAGACCGCGUGGGUGAAGAAGGCCUUCGGGUUGUAAAGCCCUUUUGUUGGGAAAGAAAAGCAGCAGGUUAAUACCCCGCUGUUCUGACGGUACCCAAAGAAUAAGCACCGGCUAACUUCGUG